CUUUUGUGUGUUUGAUAAGUGUGUUUAAAAUUUUCAUGUGAUUCUCCACUUAAUCAAAGAAGAAAGAUGGCCAUCCAGCAAAGCUACAAGUGUUAAAAUUAUUCAACUCCAUCUAGCAACUCCAAGCUAAGUGUCUCUACAACCAUUGUAAAUAUAUAGUUUUCAUGUUUGUUUCUUCUAGACCUCUUCUUUCACCUUGCUCUCACACAAGAGACUGUGUGAAGUAAGUGUGGGGGGGAGAGUCUACUUAUCUCACAUGUUUUCUGUUUUGUUUACUUGUCAUAAGCAUUGCAUAUCCAUUUGCAUAGAAAAUCCAUAAAAAUUUGCAAAACUCCAAAAAUUACAAAAAAAAACAUUUAGUUAUAUCAUUUGCAUCUUUAGGUUUGAGUCUAGAUCAUAUAUAAUGCAUAGGUAAAAUCCCUACAACUCAUGCAAUGAACUCAUUGUUGAUACCCUUUUGAAUCAUAAUAAGUAGCUUGAGCUUAUUCUGAAUUUCUUGUAGACUUCGAGCCUUGAAAACUCCUCUUAAGACUCAUUGAAUCUUACUCUUUGAAACCAACUCCGAUCUUAAUUGACUUAAAUGAACUUAAUGCUUCUUGCUUAUGGUCUCUUGAGUACUAAAUCAUGGCUUUACACACACUUGAGCUUGUAUAAACCAUUUUACCAAUCUUUUUGACAACUCAAGUGGUAGUCCAUACCCUAAACCCUUCCCUUCUUUCAAACCAUCAUUAAUUGUUGAGUGAGGUCUUUUUGUGAAAGCUUGUCAUGUGCAAAAUCUUGAGAGUAUUAGGAGCGACAUUGAUUUGUUCUCAUCUCUUGCUAGCAUUAGGACCUCUUUUGGGCUAGCAUCUAGGAUGGUGGUUGGAAUGAUGUGCUUUAAUUCUUUUGAUCUUGGGGAUUGAAUUGGGAAAGAUUAUGUAAAGGAAAUGAAUCAAAAAGUGUGUCUAAAACAACUAGGAACAAAAAAAAAAAGGAAGAUAGCUCAGAUUGUGUCAAUAAAAACCCCAAAAAGAAAAGAAGAAAAAAAAAAUAAGAGAAUGGGGAUAACAAAUUUUUGAGCUAAGAUACAUAGUUGUUAAGACAAAGAAAAGAAAAUAAAAGAGUGUUCAUUGGGUAAGAGAUGAAAAUGGGUGUAUAUUUGGGAUUUGAGAUGAAGAAAAGAAAGGGUAGAACUUAAAAAUUGUCUAGGAAAAGGGUACAAUGAUGAGAACCGAUUUAUGUAUGCAUUAAUUGCUCCUUUUCUUAGAUAAAUUUUGCAUAAUGAUCAAGCUCCUAUUCUUGAGUGUAAGUCACCAUUGCAAAAUGUAUUUGGACCCUUCUCAUUCUUCACAUUAAGCCAUUUUUUCUCACCAAACCAAAUGAUUUAGACCAAUUGGCAAUUUGCGAGAAUUCACUUAUGAUAUUUCUUAUUGAAUGUGAGAGUUGGUUGAUUUGAAGAUUCAUGAUAAUGAGUUAAAAGAGCAAAGGAAUUGAUAGGCCUAGAGAAGUUAGAGCUAAUAAAAACAUCUUGCUCUUGCUAUUUGGUAUGAUUUUGUAAGGAUAUCACAACAAUGGCAUUGAAGAGUUUCUUAAGGUCAUGAAUUUCCAUUUGUGUAUUGAAACAUCACUUCCUAUGUUCUUGAAAGUUUACUUAAGGACAAGUAAAGGACUAGUGUGGGGGAGUUGAUGUGUUGUGAUUUUGCAUAGUUUUAGCUUUGUUAUUUCAUAUAUAUUCAUGCAUUAACCUUACAUUUAUUUGCAUUUAGAGUCUAUUGCAUGUACAUUUGCAUCUUGUAGGUGUUGGAUGAAUUGUUUGGAGUUUUGGAGGUGAUUAGAGCACAAAAGGAGCUCUCGAGGAGUCUUGAACCGAACGUGUGAAAGACAAGCAUGGAUGAAGGUCUUAAAGAUAUCUUUUGAAACUUGUCUUUUGGGAAGACAUGGUAAAUUGAGUUAGCUUUACAAUGGAGGUGGUUUCAAGUCGUUUGGAGCUGUAUUGAGGGAUUUAUGAUCAAAAUACUACACACAUAUCAGUGUGUGCAACAUGGAGAAAGUGGAGAAAACUUUAAUGAGUGAGUUUUAUCUCUUUAAAGCUUGCAACAUGGGGGAUGGGUUGUCUAUCAUGAGUUUGGUGGCUCUUUUGGCCUAACUUUCUCUACCUUUUCCGAAGAGGCAAGACUACUUUGGCCAUAUGAAGGGGCAAAAGGUGUUCUAUAAUGGAAGAAAGUGGAGAAUAACUUUUAUGAGUGUGUUUUAUGCUUUAUGCUUUCACAUGAUGGAUGUGUUGUCAUCCUCCUUUACUUAGGCUAUAAAAGAGACUGCAAGGGGAAGGAGGAAGACAACACAUCCAUCAUGUGAAAGCAUAAAGCAUAAAACACACUCAUAAAAGUUAUUCUCCACUUUCUUCCAUUAUAGAACACCUUUUGCCCCUUCAUAUGGCCAAAGUAGUCUUGCCUCUUCAAAAAAGGUAGAGAAAGUUAGGCCAAAAGAGCCACCAAACUCAUGAUAGACAACCCAUCCCCCAUGUUGCAAGCUUUAAAGAGAUAAAACUCACUCAUUAAAGUUUUCUUCACUUUCUCCAUGUUGCACACACCUUUAGAAUACCAAAAAUAAGAAGAAUAAUGAAUAGUAAUGAGUUUUAUAGGUUUUAAGUGAAUAAAAAUAGUCUAAAGGCUUAAAAUUCGAAGGCUAUUGUUGAUGUUGCUAGGGUGGCCGCCAGGAAUGUCAUACUGAUAUGUGUGUAGCAUUUUGAUCAUAAAUCCCUCAAUACAGCUCCAAACGACUCGAAACCACCUCCAUUGUAAAGCUAACUCAAUUUACCAUGUCUUCCCAAAAGACAAGUUUCAAAAGAUAUCUUUAAGCCUUCAUCCAUCCUUGUCUUUCACACGUUCGGUUCAAGACUCCUCGAAAGCUCCUUUUGUGCUCUAAUCACCUCCAAAACUCCAAAAAAUUCAUCCAACACCUACAAGAUGCAAAUGUACAUGCAAUAGACUCUAAAUGCAAAUAAAUGUAAGGUUAAUGCAUGAAUAUAUAUGAAAUAACAAAGCUAAAACUAUGCAAAAUCACAACACAUCACUUUUGCUAUACCAAAGUGUGUUCCUUUAGAUUUACAAGUAACAAGAACAAUGAGUUGAUCUUGAUUGUGUUUUUUGGAUCUAUAUUUUAAAGGAUUUAAGCUAUAGUUUAUGUAUGAAAUUUAAUUUUCAGGGACUUCAAAUCAGAACUAACCAGCUUAAAAUCAAAAAUGUGUCUCAGAUCCCAGCCUCCAUGGAGGAAGAAGAUUACCCUGGAUUACGCCACUCAAUACUACAUGUCUCCCGACCUCAACCCCAGCUCUCCUGUCCACAUCACCCAUAACAGCAGCCUCCACAUCCACUUCCCCAACCCCCUUGCUUUUUGCUGGUAACAACAUCCACAUGUGUCCCUUGUCCACAACACCACCAUCCACUCCUCGCAAGUUCAAGACAACCACAUCCACACACCCCAUCUGUCCACAAUACCCAAGCAAUACACACAUAGUGAUCUUGCCCCUCACAUGUCUGGACAUCCACAAAACCAUAAUCUGUCAUUCUCACCAUGCACCUCAGCUAUCCUGAUGAUUAACAGUCUCUUUUACAUCAUGCUCUCUUUGGUAAUCUCUGUGUCCACAUCUACGCAAAACACUUUUUCAUGGAUCGAUUCGAGAUCUUGCAGUGGUUGAAUCUGAAUUCUAUUUAGCUGAUUGAGGGAGAGCUUGCUACUUUCAAGUCCAUGACUUGGUUUGCCAAACCCCAGGAGAGGGUGGUUGAAUGAUUACAUCUUUACUUCUCAGCCCCGUCUUCUGGUCAAAGCAACAGGGUACGGUUUGCUUCUUACUCUAGAGAUCGUGAUCAUGGGACUGGCAGUUCUAUUCAGGAUCAACAGUGUAAAACAGCAGACAACAACGGUGGUGUUACAGAAAAUUGCGAUCAAGACAUGAAUGGUUGAUGUAAGAGAAAAGGCUGAUGGAGUAGGAAACUCAACUGAUUUAGACAUUUAUACCACAGCACAAACCAAAGACAAAAAACUGAUGGUAGUAAGAUGAAAUCUUCCUGAAAACAACAAACUGAAGGAUUCAACUCCAGAUACAGGUAAGGUCAAACAAACAGAUGGAGUUUGAUCCAGUUAAGCAGCAUAGGCAUUUUUGUCCCUGGAUCUGGUCGACGAGUAGAAAAGGCCCUGGAUGGAGGCAGACUCUAUCUGCAUUACAACGCCAUAAGGGAUCUUGUCAGACUCCACUAUCACCCUCUUCCGUUCUCAAGGUAGAUGAUCCUUUAAUAUCUGUUCGGAACUUUAUGCAUGACUUCUCGCUGAGGCACAGAAGAUUUUGUUACUGAAAAGACUUGAGUGCAAUGUAAAACUUGAAAAACUGUUAACAUUCAUGUUGUUCUGAGUUAUUUGUUGAUUUCUCAAAAAUUAAAACCUAUGUUGUCUAACCCAUUUGAAAUUCCUGGAGCUUAAAAUCAUGUGUAGAUACACUCAUAACUUCAUUCGUAACAUUGCUCUUGUAAGUCUAGUAUCAAUUUUGGGUUGCAAUGAUCCCUGAGAAAGUUCAGGUGCAUAACAUAAAAAAAGAAACAGUUUCGGAUCA